UGGGGAAUUUUCCGCAAUGGGCGAAAGCCUGACGGAGCAAUGCCGCGUGGAGGUGGAAGGCCUACGGGUCGUCAACUUCUUUUCUCGGAGAAGAAACAAUGACGGUAUCUGAGGAAUAAGCAUCGGCUGACUCUGUGCUAG
rnacentral:rRNA from 1 species